rnacentral:rRNA from 1 species
GGUUAAGCGACUAAGCGUACACGGUGGAUGCCCUGGCAGUCAGAGGCGAUGAAGGACGUGCUAAUCUGCGAUAAGCGUCGGUAAGGUGAUAUGAACCGUUAUAACCGGCGAUUUCCGAAUGGGGAAACCCAGUGUGUUUCGACACACUAUCAUUAACUGAAUCCAUAGGUUAAUGAGGCGAACCGGGGGAACUGAAACAUCUAAGUACCCCGAGGAAAAGAAAUCAACCGAGAUUCCCCCAGUAGCGGCGAGCGAACGGGGAGCAGCCCAGAGCCUGAAUCAGUGUGUGUGUUAGUGGAAGCGUCUGGAAAGGCGCGCGAUACAGGGUGACAGCCCCGUACACAAAAAUGCACAUGCUGUGAGCUCGAUGAGUAGGGCGGGACACGUGGUAUCCUGUCUGAAUAUGGGGGGACCAUCCUCCAAGGCUAAAUACUCCUGACUGACCGAUAGUGAACCAGUACCGUGAGGGAAAGGCGAAAAGAACCCCGGCGAGGGGAGUGAAAAAGAACCUGAAACCGUGUACGUACAAGCAGUGGGAGCACGCUUCGGCGUGUGACUGCGUACCUUUUGUAUAAUGGGUCAGCGACUUAUAUUCUGUAGCAAGGUUAACCGAAUAGGGGAGCCGAAGGGAAACCGAGUCUUAACUGGGCGUUAAGUUGCAGGGUAUAGACCCGAAACCCGGUGAUCUAGCCAUGGGCAGGUUGAAGGUUGGGUAACACUAACUGGAGGACCGAACCGACUAAUGUUGAAAAAUUAGCGGAUGACUUGUGGCUGGGGGUGAAAGGCCAAUCAAACCGGGAGAUAGCUGGUUCUCCCCGAAAGCUAUUUAGGUAGCGCCUCGUGAAUUCAUCUCCGGGGGUAGAGCACUGUUUCGGCAAGGGGGUCAUCCCGACUUACCAACCCGAUGCAAACUGCGAAUACCGGAGAAUGUUAUCACGGGAGACACACGGCGGGUGCUAACGUCCGUCGUGAAGAGGGAAACAACCCAGACCGCCAGCUAAGGUCCCAAAGUCAUGGUUAAGUGGGAAACGAUGUGGGAAGGCCCAGACAGCCAGGAUGUUGGCUUAGAAGCAGCCAUCAUUUAAAGAAAGCGUAAUAGCUCACUGGUCGAGUCGGCCUGCGCGGAAGAUGUAACGGGGCUAAACCAUGCACCGAAGCUGCGGCAGCGACGCUUAUGCGUUGUUGGGUAGGGGAGCGUUCUGUAAGCCUGUGAAGGUGUGCUGUGAGGCAUGCUGGAGGUAUCAGAAGUGCGAAUGCUGACAUAAGUAACGAUAAAGCGGGUGAAAAGCCCGCUCGCCGGAAGACCAAGGGUUCCUGUCCAACGUUAAUCGGGGCAGGGUGAGUCGACCCCUAAGGCGAGGCCGAAAGGCGUAGUCGAUGGGAAACAGGUUAAUAUUCCUGUACUUGGUGUUACUGCGAAGGGGGGACGGAGAAGGCUAUGUUGGCCGGGCGACGGUUGUCCCGGUUUAAGCGUGUAGGCUGGUUUUCCAGGCAAAUCCGGAAAAUCAAGGCUGAGGCGUGAUGACGAGGCACUACGGUGCUGAAGCAACAAAUGCCCUGCUUCCAGGAAAAGCCUCUAAGCAUCAGGUAACAUCAAAUCGUACCCCAAACCGACACAGGUGGUCAGGUAGAGAAUACCAAGGCGCUUGAGAGAACUCGGGUGAAGGAACUAGGCAAAAUGGUGCCGUAACUUCGGGAGAAGGCACGCUGAUAUGUAGGUGAAGUCCCUUGCGGAUGGAGCUGAAAUCAGUCGAAGAUACCAGCUGGCUGCAACUGUUUAUUAAAAACACAGCACUGUGCAAACACGAAAGUGGACGUAUACGGUGUGACGCCUGCCCGGUGCCGGAAGGUUAAUUGAUGGGGUUAGCCGCAAGGCGAAGCUCUUGAUCGAAGCCCCGGUAAACGGCGGCCGUAACUAUAACGGUCCUAAGGUAGCGAAAUUCCUUGUCGGGUAAGUUCCGACCUGCACGAAUGGCGUAAUGAUGGCCAGGCUGUCUCCACCCGAGACUCAGUGAAAUUGAACUCGCUGUGAAGAUGCAGUGUACCCGCGGCAAGACGGAAAGACCCCGUGAACCUUUACUAUAGCUUGACACUGAACAUUGAGCCUUGAUGUGUAGGAUAGGUGGGAGGCUUUGAAGUGUGGACGCCAGUCUGCAUGGAGCCGACCUUGAAAUACCACCCUUUAAUGUUUGAUGUUCUAACGUUGACCCGUAAUCCGGGUUGCGGACAGUGUCUGGUGGGUAGUUUGACUGGGGCGGUCUCCUCCUAAAGAGUAACGGAGGAGCACGAAGGUUGGCUAAUCCUGGUCGGACAUCAGGAGGUUAGUGCAAUGGCAUAAGCCAGCUUGACUGCGAGCGUGACGGCGCGAGCAGGUGCGAAAGCAGGUCAUAGUGAUCCGGUGGUUCUGAAUGGAAGGGCCAUCGCUCAACGGAUAAAAGGUACUCCGGGGAUAACAGGCUGAUACCGCCCAAGAGUUCAUAUCGACGGCGGUGUUUGGCACCUCGAUGUCGGCUCAUCACAUCCUGGGGCUGAAGUAGGUCCCAAGGGUAUGGCUGUUCGCCAUUUAAAGUGGUACGCGAGCUGGGUUUAGAACGUCGUGAGACAGUUCGGUCCCUAUCUGCCGUGGGCGCUGGAGAACUGAGGGGGGCUGCUCCUAGUACGAGAGGACCGGAGUGGACGCAUCACUGGUGUUCGGGUUGUCAUGCCAAUGGCACUGCCCGGUAGCUAAAUGCGGAAGAGAUAAGUGCUGAAAGCAUCUAAGCACGAAACUUGCCCCGAGAUGAGUUCUCCCUGACCCUUUAAGGGUCCUGAAGGAACGUUGAAGACGACGACGUUGAUAGGCCGGGUGUGUAAGCGCAGCGAUGCGUUGAGCUAACCGGUACUAAUGAACCGUGAGGCUUAACCUU